rnacentral:rRNA from 1 species
UACGUAGGGAGCAAGCGUUGUCCGGAAUCAUUGGGCGUAAAGCGCGUGUAGGCGGCCCGAAAAGUCUGGUGUGAAAUCUUAAGGCUCAACCUUAAGCUGUCACUGGAUACUGUCGGGCUUGAGUCCGGAAGAGGAGAGUGGAAUUCCUGGUGUAGCGGUGGAAUGCGCAGAUAUCAGGAGGAACACCUAUGGCGAAGGCAGCUCCCUGGUACGUGACUGACGCUGAGACGCGAAAGCGUGGGGAGCGAACAGG